UUGGCCUACGGGGGGCAGCAGUCGGGAAUAUUGCGCAAUGGGGGAAACUCUGACGCAGUGACGCCGCGUAUAGGAAGAAGGUUUUCGGAUUGUAAACUAUUGUCGUUAGGGAAGAUAAAAGACAGUACCUAAGGAGGAAGCUCCGGCUAACUACGUGCCAGCAGCCGCGGUAAUACGUAGGUGGCAAGCGUUGUUCGGAAUAACUGGGCGUAAAGGAUGCGUAGGCGGUUAAACAAGUUAUAUGUUAAAUAUAUAGGCUUAACCUGUAGAAAGCAUAUAAAACUGUUUAACUAGAGUGCAGGAGA
rnacentral:rRNA from 1 species